GAAAUAAGCAUCUCACUCAAUCGGAAAGGCAGCCCGGGCCCCGGGUUGAGGGUUCCUAGCCACGGCCACGUCCACGGAGCUUAGGGGGACCCCCUCGCCCCAGCCCCAGCCCCAGCUGCACACAGGCAGGGGCUCCCACCAGCCACAGGCUGCAGUCCUGGCCGAGGAGCCCCAGGCUGUGGGCAUCAGUCCCAGGUAGCAGAGCCACAGGGCUCCAGCCACAGCUGGGAAUUUCCCGAGGGUCAUCCGCGGCCACAGUCAAAGGUGUUCCAGCUACAGGACACAGCCCCGAGAACUGCAUGCUGGAAUCUCGGGUCUGAGGCUGAGCCUCCCCGGCUGCAGACCCCAAGCGUAGACUCAGAUCCUCCAAGCCUGGCUGCAGCUACAGGUUGAGGAGUCACCUUCCCUUUCGUCUCCAGCCCACGGCCUGCAAUCGUGGCCAGGAUCGUCUGCCAUGGAUUCCUGCCACAAGGAAGGCCCUUCAGGCUUGGGCUGGAAUCUCAGAACUCAGAGACGUCCCGGUCACGGGUUACACCACGGACAGGCCGUGCCCACCCUACCUGCUCUGGCUGGGAACUAGCUGGUAUCUAAUUUGAGUGGAUGCAAGAAAGCUCAGUCAUCGAGAUCGAUGCUGUUUCAGUGCAAGAUUUUUUCAAAACUUGGAAGUCAUUCGGGGAGAGCCACCGUGAGGAAAUGACCUGAAUUUUAAAGAACGGCGGCAUCGGGCGCUGCGCCUGUGCUGUCCACUCAUCUCGCCCAGCCGGCUCCCUGCCACCUCCUGCCAGCGGAGCCUGGGACACCGGAGCGGUCAGUGGCCACCAAGACCUUCCGUCCCCAGCAGGCAACGCUCCAAGGCUUGCAACUUCCGACCUCACCUCCCACCCACCCAGGCACUGCCGGACACUGCAGAGACACGGAUGCAGAUGCGGACGAUGACGCAAAACCAGCUACCAGAUCACCAACAAAUCGCCCACCCAGAACUACCCAGAACGACAACAUGUGUGCGAGCCCUAAACCCGCGGUGGUUCCAACAGGGGGCAUUGUUAUUCCACUAAGGCUCUCGGAAGAAAAAGAGACUCACCCCGAAUCACACAGCCAAUAAAUGGCGGACUCAAAUUCA